rfam:Streptomyces rubidus strain CGMCC 4.2026 genome assembly, contig: Ga0079901_1018
GGCGGUAUGCCCGAGUGGCCAAUGGGAGCGGACUGUAAAUCCGUCGGCUUAGCCUACCGUGGUUCGAAUCCACGUGCCGCCA